rnacentral:rRNA from 1 species
UCUUCCUACGGGAGGCAGCAGUGAGGAAUAUUGGUCAAUGGCCGGAAGGCUGAACCAGCCAAGUAGCGUGAAGGAUGACUGCCCUACGGGUUGUAAACUUCUUUUAUAAAGGAAUAAAGUGAGGCACGUGUGCCUUUUUGUAUGUACUUUAUGAAUAAGGAUCGGCUAACUCCGUGCCAGCAGCCGCGGUAAUACGGAGGAUCCGAGCGUUAUCCGGAUUUAUUGGGUUUAAAGGGUGCGCAGGCGGAUUUUUAAGUCAGCGGUCAAAUCGUGGGGCUCAACCCCAUCCAGCCGUUGAAACUGGG